rnacentral:rRNA from 1 species
GGAUUAGAUACCCUGGUAGUCCACGCAGUAAACGAUGGGUACUAGAUUUUGCGGGUCUUGACCCCCGCAGGAUCGAAGCUAACGCAUUAAGUACCCCGCCUGGGAAGUACGGUCGCAAGACUUAAACUCAAAGGAAUUGACGGGGGCCCGCACAAGCGGUGGAUCAUGUGGUUUAAUUCGAAGCAACGCGCAAUACCUUACCUGGAUUUGACAUCUCCUGACCGGCGUAGCAAUACGUAAUCUGUAGCAAUACAGCAGGAAGACAGGUGCUGCAUGGCUGUCGUCAGCUCGUGCUG